rnacentral:rRNA from 1 species
GAGUUUGAUCCUGGCUCAGGAACGCUGGCGGCAGGCCUAACACAUGCAAGUCGAGCCGUAGAGAGAAGCGUGCUUCUCUUGAGAGAGGCGGACGCGUGAGUAAAGCCUAGGAAUCUGCCUGGUAGUGGCCGAUAACGUCCGGAAACGGACGCUAAUACCGCAUACGUCCUACGCAGAAAGCAGGGGACCUUCGGGCCUUGCGCUAUCGAGAUGAGUCUAGGUCGGAUUAGCUAGUUGGUGAGGUAAUGGCUCACCGAGGCGACGAUCCGUAACUGGUCAGAGGAUGAUCAGUCACACUGGAUGACUGAGACACGGUCCAGACUCCUACGGGAGGCACGAGUGGGGAAUAGACAAUGGGCGAAAGCCUGAUUUGCCAGCCAUGCCGCGUGUGUUAAGAGGUCUUCGGGUUGUAAGCAGGCCUUAAGUUGGGAGGAAGGGCAUUAACCUAAUACGUUAGUUUGACGUUACCGACAGAAUAAGCACCGGUUCUAACUCUGUCCCAGAGCCGCGGUAAUACAGAGGGUGCAAGCGUUAAUCGGAAUUACUGGGCGUAAAGCGCGCGUAGGUGGUUUGUGCUACUGGAUGUGAAAUCCCCGGGCUCAACCUGGGAACUGCAUUAAACUGCAACCUAGAGUAUGGUAGAGGGUGGUGGAAUUUCCUGUGUAGCGGUGUGAAAAUGCGCAGAUAUAGGAAGGACACCAGUGGCGAAGGCGACCACCUGGACUAAUACUGAACUGAGGUGCGAAAGCGUGGGGAGCAAACAGGGCUAGAUACCCUGGUAGUCCACGCCGUAAGAUACGAUGUCAACUAGCCGUUGGGAGCCUUGAGCUCUUAGUGUGGCGCAGCUAACGCAUUAAGUUGACCGCCUGCCGAGUACGGCCGCAAGGUUAAAACUCAAAUGAAUUGACGCCGGCCACCACAAGCGGUGGAGCAUGUGGUUUAAUUCGAAGCAACGCGAAGACCAGGCCUUGACGCCUUAAUAUGAACUUUCUAGAGAUACCAGAUUGGUGCCUUCGGGAACAUUGAGACAGUGGUGCUGCAUGGCUGUCCACUCGUGUCGUGAGAUGUUGGGUUAAGUCCGUAACGAGCGCAACCCUUGUCCUUAGUUACCAGCACGAUCUAGUGGGCACUCUAAGAUGGAGACUGCCGGUGACAAACCGGAGGAAGUCAGGUGGGGAUGACGUCAAUCAUGCCCUUACGGCCUGGGCUACACACGUGCUACAUGGUCGGUACAGAGGGUUGCCAAGCCGCGAGGUGGAAAUCCCUCAAGCUAAAACCGAUCGUAGUCCGGAUCGUAGUCUUGGCAACUCGACUGCGAAGUCGGAAUCGCUAGUAAUCGAUCAGAAUGUCGCGGUGAAUACGUUCCCGGCGAGCCUUGUACACACCGCCCGUCACACCAUGGUGGGUUGCACCAGAAGUAGCUAGUCUAACCUGAGUCGGGAGGGCGGUUACCACGUGAUUCAUGACGGUGGGUGAAGUCGUAGGUACAAGGUAGCCGUAGGGGAACCUGCGGCUGGAUCACCUCUGGGCUGGAUCACCUCCUUUCU